rnacentral:rRNA from 1 species
GUGUCAGCAGCCGCGGUAAUACGUAGGUGGCAAGCGUUGUCCGGAAUUAUUGGGCGUAAAGCGCGCGUAGGCGGCUUUUCAAGUCAGAAGUGAAAGCCCCGGGCUCAACCCGGGAAUAGCUUUUGAUACUGUUGAGCUCGAGUCCGGGAGAGGAUAGUGGAAUUCCCAGUGUAGAGGUGAAAUUCGUAGAUAUUGGGAAGAACACCAGUGGCGAAGGCGGCUAUCUGGACCGGUACUGACGCUGAGGCGCGAAAGCGUGGGGAGCAAACAGGAUUAGAUACCCUGGUAGUCC